AGACCCGAAACCCGGUGAUCUAGCCAUGGGCAGGUUGAAGGUUGGGUAACACUAACUGGAGGACCGAACCGACUAAUGUUGAAAAAUUAGCGGAUGACCUGUGGCUGGGGGUGAAAGGCCAAUCAAACCGGGAGAUAGCUGGUUCUCCCCGAAAGCUAUUUAGGUAGCGCCUCGUGAAUUCAUCUCCGGGGGUAGAGCACUGUUUCGGCUAGGGGGCCAUCCCGGCUUACCAACCCGAUGCAAACUGCGAAUACCGGAGAAUGUUAUCACGGGAGACACACGGCGGGUGCUAACGUCCGUCGUGAAGAGGGAAACAACCCAGACCGCCAGCUAAGGUCCCAAAGUCAUGGUUAAGUGGGAAACGAUGUGGGAAGGCCCAGACAGCCAGGAUGUUGGCUUAGAAGCAGCCAUCAUUUAAAGAAAGCGUAAUAGCUCACUGGUCGAGUCGGCCUGCGCGGAAGAUGUAACGGGGCUAAACCAUGCACCGAAGCUGCGGCAGCGAACGUAUCACUUAAAGCGAUUCAGCGGAUGACGAUUGACGGAGCGAAGCGACGUCAAAGCGUAUACAAAGUCGAGUCGGUUUAAGGAUACGUUCGUUGGGUAGGGGAGCGUUCUGUAAGCCUGCGAAGGUGGCCUGUGAGGGUUGCUGGAGGUAUCAGAAGUGCGAAUGCUGACAUAAGUAACGAUAAAGCG
rnacentral:rRNA from 1 species